rnacentral:rRNA from 1 species
UUAGCUAGUUGGUGAGGUAACGGCCCACCAAGCCGAUGACGGGUAGCUGGUCUGAGAGGAUGAUCAGCCAGACUGGGACUGAGAAACGGCCCAGACUCCUACGGGAGGCAGCAGUUAAGAAUCUUGCUCAAUGGGCGAAAGCCUGAAGCAGCGACGCCGCGUGAACGAUGAAGGUCUUCGGAUUGUAAAGUUCAGUAAGUAGGGACGAAAAAAAUGAC